CAGUAGCCGCGGGAAUACGAAGGGGGCUAGCGUUGCUCGGAACGACUGGGCGUAAAGGGCGCGUAGGCGGCGAUCAAAGUCAGGCGUGAAAUUCCUGGGCUCAACCUGGGGGCUGCGCUUGAUACUUGGUUGCUUGAGUGGGGAAGAGGGUCGUGGAAUUCCCAGUGUAGAGGUGAAAUUCGUAGAUAUUGGGAAGAACACCGGUGGCGAAGGCGGCGACCUGGUCCUUGACUGACGCUGAGGCGCGAAAGCGUGGGGAGCAAACAGGAUUAGAUACCCCAGUAGUCCCUGUCUCUUAUAC
rnacentral:rRNA from 1 species